UACGUAGGGGGCAAGCGUUGUCCGGAUUUAUUGGGCGUAAAGAGCGUGUAGGCGGUCUGGUAGGUCCGUUGUGAAAACUCGAGGCUCAACCUCGAGACGCCGAUGGAAACCAUGUGGCUAGAGUCCGGAAGAGGAGAGUGGAAUUCCUGGUGUAGCGGUGAAAUGCGCAGAUAUUGGGAAGAACACCGGUGGCGAAGGCGGCGACCUGGUCCGAUACUGACGCUGAGGCGCGAAAGCGUGGGGAGCAAACAGG
rnacentral:rRNA from 1 species